rnacentral:lncRNA from 1 species
GAGGAUGCCGCUGUAGGUUACUUCCCAGUCGACUAUUUUGCCCUUUGCUGUGAAUGCUGUUCUUCUGAAGUGAUUUGACUUCAAACCCUUAAUACAGUUCACCGGAUUCCUGCCAGGAUCUGGUUCCAUCCACCAAGGCCUCUGCUCUGCAAUCUCCUCUCAUCUCAGCAUCUGUGUGAAAAGAAGAAUUAGGGAGCCUUACUACUUACUACUCAAGUUCCUAAGUAUAAUUUGUCAGAAAUAUGGGGUGUACAACUUCCUUGUAGCUCACGUGGACUUUAUAAAUGCUUUCCUGCUACUGAAGAGGAUUGAUAAAAAGCUGCUCUACUUUCAAAGUUUGGUCUCCUUUUGUAAUUCAGAUUCUUCUAGGGCUCUGCUUUGGACUCUGCAGUUUGAAUGAUUUGAAGAUGUUAUCUCCAGUUCUAUCCUAAAUAAACUGAUUACUAAAGGCCCCA